UACCAGCACCCCGAGUGGUCGGGACGAUUAUUGGGCCUAAAGCAUCCGUAGCCGGUCAUGCAAGUCUUCCGUUAAAUCCAGCCGCUCAACGGUUGGGCUGCGGAGGAUACUACGUGGCUAGGAGGCGGGAGAGGCAAGCGGUACUCAGUGGGUAGGGGUAAAAUCCUUUGAUCCAUUGAAGACCACCAGUGGCGAAGGCGGCUGCCAGAACGCGCUCGACGGUGAGGGAUGAAAGCUGGGGAGCAAACCGG
rnacentral:rRNA from 1 species